GGACUUUUGGGAAAGCAUUGGAAAUGUAAUUGAGGAAAAUACGUAAUAAAUAAAAAAAUGCCAUUUUAGCCAUGCAAAAUUAUACAGAUUUUAUUUACAAAACAUCCUAGUUUAUGACCUUGAUUAGAUAAUCCAGAGAUGUUGAUUGUCAAAUUGGAGUUUCUUUGACACUUAAAUAAUGGCAACUUUUUGAUGUUCUGUUUCUAUGUAAAUGUUUUUAGCUUUACUUUUUUGUUUUUGUUUUGUUUUUGUUUACAUUUCCCACCUUUAGUCCAAUAAAAGGCUGUUUCUCUUACAAUGGUAACCUAUAUACAAUAAUAAAUUUUGAAAAAUAUUAUGAAAGAUUAAUAUUCACAAUGUAAAGUCCAUACACAUUGGCAACCUUGGAGAAAAUAAUCUAUUAUCUAUCUGAUCUUGGUGAAUUCAGAGUUCUGUACCUAAAUCAAUUUCUAUCAUAACUUGCAUUAACAACCUAAAACAUCUUUUUUAAACUUAAAACAUUUUCUUAAAUCCCAAAACUUAAACUUAAAUGUGAGACUAUAGCACUCUAGUCUUCAACCCCGUCAGAGACCUGAGAAGGAUAAAUAUUACCUGAGUAAAUAGGAAGUACAGAGCAUGCAGCUUUUAAAACUAAAGAAAUAACAGAGAAAGCUGGCUGCCUGGACAGUCACCCAAAUCUCUCUGAAGUGUUGGAGCAUCCAUAUUCGGUCUUCUGUCUCAGAAUAUCUAAUGUACUUUUUGUAAAGCAGGAAAUAUGAAGACCUGCUUACCCUGUCUUGGUAAAGCUUGGCAGCUGACUUCCCUGCAUCUCGUUUACCCAGUUUGGACAGUGUACCUAUGGACAGUUUCUUGCCCAGUGGCAGCUUUUCACAUUUGAAGCAAACCCCAUAAGGAGAUCCCUGAUGCUCAUCACAUUCUUUGAAAUAGAAUGGGGGUGCUUCCAGGAGCAGACCUUUUCAAAUUUAUCCUGGAUACAAAUUUUUUUGAGGAAAUAGCAUUGAGGCACUCUCAGGUAUGAUCAAGCAAGAUGCUGGAAUAACUAUUUCAGUAUCUCAGCAUACCGAGGGGCUACUUGUCUUGUCAUUUUUGGUUUCUGGUCUUUUGCUCCUGUUUGUUCCUUCUUGAUCUACACUUGAUAGCCCAGUGUGGGAGUUUGCCAUAUCUUCUGCAUAUUUCAGACAGCUGGGGACUUCUGGAUUAUAUCUGGUCCUCAGUUUCACACAACCAUCUUCCUCUGUGUCAGGGCAAAUCUCCCUCUUAGCUUUACUCUUGUUUCAACUUAGAUUUAUUACUUCUUAUCCAUUUGUCCUCCUCUUACCUUACAGGAGGCUUUCAUCAGUUUUCAAAUGACUCAUUGGCAUUUGGUAGUUGAAAUGCUUCAACACUUAAGACUAGGCAGUAUUUCUAGGAUACAUUAGAAAAAAUAAAUGAAAUCAAAUUUGAAAUUGGGAUUAACUAAGAAAAGGGUGAUGAAAGCACUUAUUAUUUCUUAUAUGCCAUAUCUUUGGGUCAAUCCUCAAAGGUGAGCACUACUCAGGACACAGGAUUCAUGAACACCUGCCAUGUGCCCACUCAGUCCCUGAGGCAGAAUUCACAGCAAAAACUCAAGGAAGUCUCACUCUGACAGACUGACCAAGAUAAGUCUGCUCAGGAAAAAAAAAAUCACUUUUUUUGAGAGUGUAGAGUACCAACUUCAAGAUGGCCUUCAUAUAUUUUUUGAGUAGGGCAAGCCAUUAUAUUCAUCCAUCAUGUCUUUGCUAUUUAAGCUCUGACUCUUUAAAGAAAUUAAACAGUAGACACAUUCCACACUUCAUCACCACUCAUUUUUCUCACUGCCCUUCUUUCUAAGUCAUUACUAGCAAUCUUCAAAUUUCAGUGUACUUCAUGUUUUAUGUAUGAAGAAGCACAGGGAUAAUUUUUCUUUCCUAAAUUUAUUCUAAAAAGUUAUCACUUCUGCAUUAUCUUGCUUGUCAAAUUAAAAUGCAAUUAAAACUUGAUAGCACUUAUUCAGAUGUUAAAGAUGAAAGGUGUUUGUUGGUUGGUUUGUUUGUUUUCGCUCAAUAAUGCAAUCUAACCUUUGGAAUCAACUUUUAAACAUCCAAACCGUAAGGGUAUCAGUAGUCUGAUAGGUAGAGACAUAUUAGUGUCUUUAUACUUAUUUCUGCUCAAUUACCACGAGGUAGCCUAUAAUUUAGUUAAAGUAAUUCUCCUGAAAUCUAUAAGAAAGGAGAUUUAUUUAAGAAAAAUAACACUUAAAUUAUCUUCAAAGUCUAAAACAGGGCUGAUGUAAGUUAAACAACUAUUCAGACUGUCACACAACAAAAA
rnacentral:lncRNA from 1 species